rnacentral:rRNA from 1 species
GACGAACGCUGGCGGCGUGCUUAACACAUGCAAGUCGAACGGAAAGGCCUGUCCUUCCUUGUGUUGGACGGGUACUCGAGUGGCGAACGGGUGAGUAACACGUGAGUGAUCUGCCCCCAACUUGGGUAUAAGCCUGGGAAACUGGGUCUAAUUCCCGAUAGGACUGCAGGGUGGUGCCUGUGGUGGAAAACGAUUUUCUAGUGGUUGGGGAUGAGCUCGCGGCCUAUCAGCUUGUUGGUGGGGUAAUGGCCUACCAAGGCGGCGACGGGUAGCCGGCCUGAGAGGGUUGACGGCCACAUUGGGACUGAGAAACGGCCCGGACUGCUACGGGAGGCAGCAGUGGGGAAGAUGGCACAAUGGGCGGAAGCCUGAUGCAGCGACGCCGCGUGGGGGAUGACGGCCUGCGGGUUGUAAACUCCUUUCGGCCGCGAGGAAGCCGCCUGGUUGGAAGGGUGGUGACGGUAGUGGUAGAAGAAGCACCGGCUAACUACGUG